UACGUAGGGUGCAAGCGUUAAUCGGAAUUACUGGGCGUAAAGCGUGCGCAGGCGGUUUUGUAAGUCUGUCGUGAAAUCCCCGGGCUCAACCUGGGAAUUGCGAUGGAGACUGCAAGGCUAGAAUCUGGCAGAGGGGGGGUAGAAUUCCACGUGUAGCAGUGAAAUGCGUAGAGAUGUGGAGGAACACCGAUGGCGAAGGCAGCCCCCCUGGGUCAAGAUUGACGCUCAUG
rnacentral:rRNA from 1 species